rnacentral:rRNA from 1 species
UACAGAGGGUGCGAGCGUUAAUCGGAAUUACUGGGCGUAAAGGGCGCGUAGGCGGGUGGAUAAGUUAGGUGUGAAAGUCCAGGGCUUAACCUUGGGAUUGCAUUUAAUACUGUUCAUCUUGAGUGAAGUAGAGGGUAGCGGAAUUUCCGGUGUAGCGGUGAAAUGCGUAGAUAUCGGAAAGAACACCGGUGGCGAAGGCGGCUACCUGGACUUUAACUGACGCUGAGGCGCGAAAGCGUGGGGAGCAAACAGG